GAUGAACGCUGGCGGCGUGCCUAAUACAUGCAAGUCGAGCGAAGCGGGGACGGGUGCGUAACACGUGGAUAACCUCCUAUAAGACUGGGAUAACUUCGGGAAACCGGUGCUAAACCGGCUACUUAUAUAUGGAUCCGCGCUGCAUUAGCUAGUUGGUAAGGUAACGGCUUACCAAGGCAACGAUGCAUAGCCGACCUGAGAGGGUGAUCGGCAAAACUGGAAAUGAGAAACGGGCCAGACUCCUACGGGAGGCAGCAGUAGGGAAUCUUCCGCAAUGGGAGAAAGCCUGACGGAGCAACGCCGCGUGAGUGAUGAAGGUCUUCGGAUCGUAAAACUCUGUUAUUAGAGAAGCGGUACCUAAUCAGAAAGCAACGGCUAACUACGUGCCAGCAGCCGCGGUAAUUC
rnacentral:rRNA from 1 species